CUGGCGGCAGGCCUAACACAUGCAAGUCGAGCGGUAGAGAGAAGCUUGCUUCUCUUGAGAGCGGCGGACGGGUGAGUAAUGCCUAGGAAUCUGCCUGGUAGUGGGGGAUAACGUCCGGAAACGGACGCUAAUACCGCAUACGUCCUACGGGAGAAAGCAGGGGACCUUCGGGCCUUGCGCUAUCAGAUGAGCCUAGGUCGGAUUAGCUAGUUGGUGGGGUAAUGGCUCACCAAGGCGACGAUCCGUAACUGGUCUGAGAGGAUGAUCAGUCACACUGGAACUGAGACACGGUCCAGACUCCUACGGGAGGCAGCAGCGGGGAAUAUUGGACAAUGGGCGAAAGCCUGAUCCAGCCAUGCCGCGUGUGUGAAGAAGGUCUUCGGAUUGUAAAGCACUUUAAGUUGGGAGGAAGGGCAGU
rnacentral:rRNA from 1 species